UACGGAAGGCAGCAGUGGGGAAUAUUGCACAAUGGGCGCAAGCCUGAUGCAGCCAUGCCGCGUGUAUGAAGAAGGCCUUCGGGUUGUAAAGUACUUUCAGUCGUGAGGAAGGUGUUAAGGUUAAUAACCUUAGCAAUUGACGUUAGCGACAGAAGAAGCACCGGCUAACUCCGUGCCAGCAGCCGCGGUAAUACGGAGGGUGCGAGCGUUAAUCGGAAUUACUGGGCGUAAAGGGCACGCAGGCGGUUAAUUAAGUUGGAUGUGAAAUCCCCGGGCUUAACCUGGGAAUGGCAUUCAAGACUGGUUAGCUAGAGUCUUGUAGAGGGGGUUAGAAUUCCAUGUGUAGCGGUGAAAUGCGUAGAGAUGUGGAGGAAUACCGGUGGCGAAGGCGGCCCCUGGGACAAAGGACUGACGCUCAUGUGCGAAAGCGUGGGGAGCAAACG
rnacentral:rRNA from 1 species